GCCCCCCUCCCUUGGGGUCCGGUUCCCCGCGGCCGGCCUCCCUCUUUCCACCGUGGUGGGCGCCUGCCCGGGGCUUUACCCUGUUCUCUGUGCCCUGCCUCUCAGCUCUCGGUCGUGUUUUAAAGGUUGGACGGAGGAUCCUUGAGGUCCCCUCUAACCUGGGGUUCUGUGGUAUUUUGUGAGAUCCUCCCCUUGUGUCCUGGUGUCCCCGGGGACCCCCUGUCCCCACCCUUUCUCCUCCUUGCUCUUGCUGUCGACGCAGAAUCCUUGCCCUGGUCACACCCGACGCCGGCUUCGCCUCUGCUGCAGGGAGAAAGGAUUUAGUUUCUCUCCACAGUCGGGUGCAGCAGUUUUCCCGGUGGCCCCAGCGACCUCCCUUGGGGCAUGCUGGCAGCCUGUCCCCACAUGCUCUGCCAGCUCCCAGCGAGGGCCCACCUGGUUCCUUCCAUCACCGGCUCAUCCUCAGCCCCUAUGAGGGCGGUGGGGUGACCAUCCCUGCACAGUGUCUUCACUGCUAUUGAUGUGGCUUAGCAGAAAUGAUCAUGCUCGUGGGUGGAGUCAGUUUCCUCACCCAACAAAGCUGUCCUUCCCUGUCUGCGAGCGAGCUGCUGGGCUGCUGUCAAAGGCGACCUUUCAGUGGUGCGCAGCUUCUCGUUAAGGUAGUUUUCUUGACAUCAUGAAGGAGAGCUGUGUGUUUCCCUAGGCUUUCCUCUUUCCAUUUAGUCUGCUGUGAGACAGGCUGCGUACCUAAUGUCCUUUCUCCCUAGGUUUAUUACAGCGUUUUUCUUUCUCAACACCAUCUUCUUUUGCAGAUGGAGAGUUCAGGUCAGCAGCUUCUAACCUUCUCAGUGAGUGACUCUGGCAAUUUAAGAGAAUUCAUGCCUCCAUUCAUUCUUGCAGUACCCGUUGGUGUAAUGAGUGUAGAUACCUACAUCUGGAUAAAAGAAAAUUUUGGCAGAGGGUUGAAUUGGAUCUGGCUUUUUGUGUGUGAUAUAAAUCCCUUAAAUGAUUGGCCCUACAGCCAUUCACCAAGGUUCUUCUGGAAAUAAUUGGUUAAAGAGGAAACCUCUUGGGAAUGUGUCCUGUGCAAGAAGUGUCAGUUGAAAGGAAGACUCUAUGUUGGCAUGUUUUAAAAAACAGCCCAUCCAUGAAGGAAGAAUCCUGACCUCCAUUAAAAUAUCUGUCCACUGGUUGUUCUCCAUGUCGUUACAAUAAAGCAACUGAGUAAUCUGUG